AGAGUUUGAUCCUGGCUCAGAACGAACGCUGGCGGCAGGCCUAACACAUGCAAGUCGAGCGCACCUUCGGGUGAGCGGCGGACGGGUUAGUAACGCGUGGGAACGUGCCCAGAUCUGCGGAAUAGCCACUGGAAACGGUGAGUAAUACCGCAUACGCCCUUCGGGGGAAAGAUUUAUCGGAUUUGGAUCGGCCCGCGUUAGAUUAGGUAGUUGGUGGGGUAACGGCCUACCAAGCCUAUGAUCUAUAGCUGGUUUUAGAGGAUGAUCAGCAACACUGGGACUGAGACACGGCCCAGACUCCUACGGGAGGCAGCAGUGGGGAGUCUUGGACAAUGGGCGCAAGCCUGAUCCAGCCAUGCCGCGUGAGUGAUGAAGGCCUUAGGGUCGUAAAGCUCUUUCGCCAGGGAUGAUAAUGACAGUACCUGGUAAAGAAACCCCGGCUAACUCCGUGCCAGCAGCCGCGGUAAUACGGAGGGGGUUAGCGUUGUUCGGAAUUACUGGGCGUAAAGCGCGCGUAGGCGGACCAGAAAGUUAGGGGUGAAAUCCCGGGGCUCAACCCCGGAACUGCCUCUAAAACUCCUGGUCUAGAGUUCGAGAGAGGUGAGUGGNAAUUCCGAGUGUAGAGGUGAAAUUCGUAAAUAUUCGGAGGANCACCAGUGGCGAAAGGCGGCUCACUGGCUCGAUA
rnacentral:rRNA from 1 species